UUUUUUUUUUUUUUUUUUGAGACAGAGUCUCACUCUGUUGCCCAGGCUGGAGUGCAAUCUCGGCUCACUGCAACCUCUGCCUCCUGGGUUCAAGCGAUUCUGCUGCCUCAGCCUCCCAAGUAGCUGGGACUACAGGCGCCCAUCACCAUGCCCAGCUAAUUUUUGCAUUUUAGUAGAGACAGGGUUUCACCAUGUUGGCCAGGCUGGUCUCAAACUCCUGACCUCAGGUGAUCCAUUGGCUUUGGCCUCCGAAAGUGCUGGAAUUCCAGGCGUGAGCCACUGCGCCUGGCCUACUCAUACCUUUCAUGUCGGUCUGGUUGCUCCAAAGCUUUAGGUUUUCCCUGAAGCCCACUCCCACCUUCACUCCCAAACUCAAAGACAACCUCCCUUUGCACAAAACUGCAGUCAAGCCCCUCCUUUCUCCCUUUCCCCCCACUCCCCAAGGAAAGCCCCUGCCCCUCUUCCCUCUGAUUCUUCCUUCUGGCCUGCACAUCCUGCCCAAUCAACCACCAACUCCAGCCCUGAUCUUGUCAAACUGCUGUGCUGGGGCCUCUACCUCAUCAAACGCAAGCUCCUCUGCCUUCCAUUUCAUCCCCCACAACAGAAUCCAACCUGUCUGUGUGGACUCCUCAGUUCUCCAUCCUCUGCAGCAUCAUCCCUGACCCUUAAAGCAGCUGUUUACCCUCUCCACUGGGAGAACUGGCAUAGUACCAGGCUGCCUGGUCAUAUGGGAUUUCCCUCCUUUGCACCGUGGGUUACUGAUGUCAGACCACUGACACCUCUCCUGUCCAUCAGUGAUACUCAUUCCUUAAGAAAAAAAUUAACUGUGGAUGGUCAGUAAAAUUAUACCGUAUGUUAAGAAGCAAGGCUUUAGUCUUUUCCUUUCCCCCCCUCAAAAAUAUGCUGGAGCAACAGAGAGAGGCAAAUAGCACAAAUAUUUGAAUCAGGCAAGGCUGGCUUCUAAUCCUGAUUUCAGCAGGCCUGUGUAUUGACCAUUGGAUCUCGGGCAAUCCUCUGGGAAUCGCCUCCUCGCAAGAAAAAGAACAGCAAUACCGCCACCUAGUGACUGUAUGGGGCAAGCACGGAGCACUCAGGAGGCACUCAGACCUAUCUUCUUGAACUUGAGAAUUUGCAGCAGCAUAUUAACCAGCAAAAGGAAUAGGUAAGGGACUAUUGAUAGCAGUUAUCAAGGGGGGAAACACUGGUAGCAAAUAUUAUACUGUGGCUUAAGUUGCACAAAAAAGGGAUAAAAUUAUGAAAGCUAUCAAAUAUUAUUUAAAGUAGUCCCUCCCCUUUAUCAGCAGUUUUGCUUUCUGCAGUUGAAUUCAGGCACCUGAGGUCAACUGUGGUCUAAAACAUUAAAUGAAAAAUUCCAGAAAUCAAUAAUUCUUAAGUUUUCUCCUUUUUCCUUUUAUUAUUUAUUUGAGAUGGAGUCUCACAAUGUUGCCCAGGCUGGAGUACAGUGGUGUGUUGAUCAAAGCUCACUGCAGCCUCCACUUCCAGAGCUCAAGCAAUCCUCCCACCUCAGUCUCUUGAGUGGCUGGGACCACAAGUACACGCCCCCAUGCCUGGCUAAUUUUGGGGGGUUUUUGUUUUGUUUUGUUUUUUUGUUUUUGGUAGAGAUAUCUCCCUGUGUCGCCCAGGC
rnacentral:lncRNA from 1 species